GACGGGCCCCGCACAAGCAGCGGAGCGUGUGGUUUAAUUCGAUGUUACACGAAGAACCUUACCAGGGUUUGACAUGCAAGUGGUAGGAAGCCGAAAGGUGACCGACCCUUCGGGGAGCUUGCACAGGUGCUGCAUGGCUGUCGUCAGCUCGUGUCGUGAGAUGUUCGGUUAAGUCCGCUAACGAGCGCAACCCUCGCUGUGCGUUAUAUGUGUCACACGGGACUGCCGGUCUUAAGCCGGAGGAAGGUGGGGAUGAUGUCAAGUCAGCAUGACCUUUAUAUCCAGGGCUACACACACGCUACAAUGGUCUGUACAAUGGGUAGCCAAGCCGCGAGGCGGAGCCAAUCCUGAAAGCAGGCCUCAGUUCAGAUUGCAGUCUGCAACUCGACUGCAUGAAGCCGGAGUUGCUAGUAACCGCAGGUCAGCAAUACUGCGGUGAAUACGUUCCCGGGUCUU
rnacentral:rRNA from 1 species